UAUCAUUUGUGAAACGGUCAACCAACUCGUGAUAUCGUCGAAAAAAAAAUUACGAAAGGAUGACUUCAACUUCACCAUUUGAAACUUUUGGUAUACUAGCUUCCUUGUGUGCAGAAACCCUCUAUCAAGAAAAUCAUGAUAGAAAAUACAAGCCCGGGAAUAUCGUAUCAAUAUGGAGAUAUACACUCCGUAUGCUGGUGCUGUUUGAAUGUUGCUACAUUGAAAUGGAAAGUUCAUAAUUGGGAAGCUGAAAUCAUCUCUUUUGUCGUAAAUUUUUGUUUUCAACCGACCCUCAUUGUCAAUUUCUAGAUAUAAGUCAGAAUAUGAGGCAGACUUAAUUGUAUCUGUUGUAUCCUUUAUUUCUAGUUCGAUAGGAUAGAU
rnacentral:lncRNA from 1 species